rnacentral:misc_RNA from 1 species
GUCAGCUCCUGGUUCCA